AGCAGAUCGGACAUCCUAUUAUUGGCUGCGUUAAACAGGAUGCAGAAUACCAGAGCCGAAGUGAAACCUGAGCAAAGCCUCUGAUGGGACAUGGAAGAGUCAGAGUCAGAGAAAAAGAGAAGGCAAGAAGGAGAGGGUCAGAGAGACAGAAAGGAGGGCAGCUCUGGGAGAAGACAUGAGAAAUUAGAACAGGAGCUCAGAGCACUCGGGAGAGCGGGGGAAAUGACAGUUGAAAUUAGAACAGGAGCUAAGAGGAGCAAGCAGAAGGGGACGGCAGGAACCAAGAAAUUUAAGGAGGGGAGAACCAACUCAGAGAAGUGGCCAGAAAAAAAAGCCAGCUGAACUUCAUUAAGAGGGCCGGGGACUCCUGUGUGUCCGGUAGACCGACGUCCCCCGUAUGGCUCAAAACAAAUUGUCAUUCCGAAAUGACUCUGAAAGCGGGAAUGGAAUGUGCCCCAACAAAUCAAUAUUAAAUUUUAUGCCUGCUGCACCUCUCAAAAGCCUCAAGAAGACAUUGAUUCAAGCAGCAGCAAUCAUGGUGGCAUGGGGCACAGUCACAUGGCGUCCCUCGACACCCAGACCUGAUCUCACAAUACUCCCACAGCUGUCCAGGUACUCAGCAUUGCCGAAUAGGGCUCGAACACAGUACACCACACUGCUUCCCCAUGAUGAGGCUUCUGUGCUCCAGGAGCUAAGAGUCUCCAGCACAUCGGAUGUCACAGAGCCAAUGACUUCUAGAGGUGAGUGAAAACUCAGGGCGCAUCUAGUCCAACUAACAGGUUCAAAGGGAAGUACGUGGCCAACACCACAAAGACUGUAAAAAGACAGUCAUGAAAAACGCUGAUAUGUUUCACAUUCACAUGUUAUGUCUUAUUUAAAUACUAUUUUCAUUAAAUUUACAAGUAUAUUUGUAGUUCAUAAACGUUUUUUAAAUAAUUCUACUUUCUUUGAUCUCCUAUACCUUUAUAAAAAUAACAUGUAGGGCACCUGGGUGGCUCAGAUGGUUAAGCGUCUGCCUUCGGCUCAGGUCAUGAUCCCAGGGUCCUGGGAUCGAGUCCCGCAUCGGGCUCCCUGCUCUUUGGGAGGCUGCUUCUCCCUCUGCCUCUCUCUCUCUCUCUCUCUGUCUCUCAUGAAUAAAUAAAUAAAAUCUUUAAAAAAAAAAUAAAAUAAAAAUAAAUAAAAAUAACAUGUAUUUUGUGCUCGUGCAGAAUUAAAUCUUACAUAACUAAACAAAGUUGGGUUUUUUUUUUUCUCCUGACGAAAUACCAGCAACCUCUUUCUUAAAAAAUAAACUAAGACUAUUGCCUAAAAACCCCAGCAAGAGAAAGCAUAACUCCACAGAAAGAGGCCUCCCACACAAUAAUUAAAAUAAUAAUUAAAUACUAGAAAAAGACAGAGGUAUUUCCUCCUUUAAAAAUCAAAAGAAAACAUAAAAUAAAAUAAAAUAAAUUUUCUGUGAAAAUUGCCCCAGUCACCUUUAAAAGCCCUUCCCAAAUUCCAAACGGCUCCGUUAUGAGCGAUUCUUAGUGCGUGAGGUAGGCAUUAAAGAAUAAAUCUUUUAAGUGAUUCAAAACAAGGACUCUUCAGUAAAUAGUUGAAAUUACAGGGGGGAGUUAGAGUCAUCUGGUUUCCAUUAGGAUGAUAAAAUAGUUCACUUGAAACCUUUUACAAGAUGCUCUGUUACUGGGAGGUGUCUGCGCAUGUCACUCCAUCACCGGCCAUUUGACACAACAUAAAAGGUUUCAAAAGCCAUGUAAGGCCUCUUAAUCAAAAACUAAUUGUAAUAGAUAUUGGGGAGUGUUAACACGGUGACCGCUAGGUUGUAGCUGCGGUAUGGAAGCGGCAGCGAACAUUAAACACAACCCCGACCUGAUAGGGCUUAUCUCAGUUUCAGAGCUAAGUGCUGAGUACUACAGGCCA